ACGGGGGCCCACACAACCGGUGGAGCACGUGGUUUAAUUCGAUGAUAAGCGAAGAACCUUACCAGGGCUUGACCUAGCGGUAGUAGAACCCCGAAAGGGGAACGACCUCAAGCUUUGCUUGAGGAGCCGUGGCAGGUAUUGCAUGGCUGUCGUCAGCUCGUGUCGUGGGACGUUGGGUUAAGUCCCGUAACGAGCGCAACCCCUGCCCUUAAUUGCCAACGGGUAGUGCCGGGUACUAUAAGGGGACUGCCGGAGAAUAUCCGGAGGAAGGAGGGGACGACGUCAAGUCAUUAUGAUCCUUAUGCUCUGGGCGACACACGUGCUACAAUGGGCACUACAAUGAGGAGCAAAUCCGCAAGGACGAGCAAAUCUCAAAAAGGUGCCCCCAGUGCGGAUUGGGGUCUGCAACCCGACCCCAUGAAGAUGGAAUCGGUAGUAAUCGCGGGUCAGCCAUACCGCGGUGAAUACGUACUUGGGCCUUGUACUCA
rnacentral:rRNA from 1 species